rnacentral:rRNA from 1 species
GUCUAUGGCCGUACCACCCUGAACAUACCUGAUCUCGGCUGAUCUUGGAAGUGAGCAGGGUUGGGCCUGGUUAGUACUUGGAUGGGAGACCAUUGACAAGGGUGCUGCCCUAAGCA